rnacentral:rRNA from 1 species
UACAGAGGGUGCGAGCGUUGUUCGGAAUUACUGGGCGUAAAGCGCGCGCAGGCGGCCCUUUAAGUCUACCCGUGAAAUGCCGGAGCUCAACUCCGUGCACGCCGGGGGAUACUGGGGGGCUGGAGACAGAUAGAGGCAAGCGGAAUUCCGGGUGUAGCGGUGGAAUGCGUAGAUAUCCGGAAGAACACCUGAGGCGAAGGCGGCUUGCUGGGCCUGAUCUGACGCUGAGGCGCGAAAGCUAGGGGAGCAAACGGG